rnacentral:rRNA from 1 species
GAGUUUGAUCAUGGCUCAGGAUGAACGCUAGCGAUAGGCUUAACACAUGCAAGUCGAGGGGCAUCACGGGAUUAGCUUGCUAAUCUUGGUGGCGACCGGCGUAAGGGUGCGUAACGCGUAUGCAACUUGCCUGUCAGUGGGGAAUAACCCGGAGAAAUCCGGACUAAUACCGCAUACACUUUGGUUUCCGCAUGGGGACUUUAGGAAAGAUUUAUUGCUGACAGAUAGGCAUGCGUUCCAUUAGAUAGUUGGUGAGGUAACGGCUCACCAAGUCAACGAUGGAUAGGGGAGCUGAGAGGCUUAUCCCCCACACUGGAACUGAGACACGGUCCAGACUCCUACGGGAGGCAGCAGUGAGGAAUAUUGGUCAAUGGGCGAGAGCCUGAACCAGCCAAGUCGCGUGAAGGAAGACGGUCCUAUGGAUUGUAAACUUCUUUAGUAGGUGAGUACAAGCAGUUACGUGUAGCGUAGCAUACUAG